GACGAACGCUGGCGGCGUGCCUAACACAUGCAAGUAGAACGCACAGUUUAUACUUUAGCUUGCUACACCAUAGACUGUGAGUUGCGAACCGGUGAGUUACGCGUAGGUAACCUGCCUGGUAGCGGGGGAUAACUAUUGGUAACGAUAGCUAAUACCGCAUGAUAUUGAUUAUUGCAUGAUAAUUAAUUUAAAGGUGCAAUUGAACCACUACCAGAUAGCUCUGCGUUGUAUUAGCUACUAGGUGAGGUAACGGCUCACCUAGGCGACGGUACAUAGCCGACCUGAGGGGGUGGUCGGCCACCCUGGGACUGGGACACGGCCCAAACUCCUUCGGGGAGCAGCAGUAGGGAAUCUUCGGCAAUGGGCGAAAGUCUGACCGAGCAACGCCGCGGGAGGGAAGAAGGUUUUCGGAUCGUAAAGCUCUGUUGUAAGGGAAGAACGGGUGUGAGAGUGGAAAGUUCACGCUGUGACGGUAUCUUACCAGAAAGGGACGGCUAACUACGUG
rnacentral:rRNA from 1 species